CCCCUCACGCUUAUCUUUUCCCCAUUCUUCACUCAGUCCUCCAAAUCCACAGCCUGGCCACCCCUCCCCUUCCCGAUCCCCAUCCACAGCCGCCGGAGCUCUCUGCUGGCCGCACCUAUCCUUUGUCAGCAACGCCGGCGGACACGCAGGCCCCUGCUUUGCCCCGCCCUCCCCCUUCGUCAGCAACACCGGCGGACGCGAGCGCCCCUGCUCUGCCCGCCCCUUCUUCCUAUCCGGUGCCGCUGGGACCCUCCUUCCUCCUGGCGACGGCGGGGCGCUCGAGCCGGGCAUGCUCGCCGGCGACACCGGGGCCCUCCCUCCUCCUGGAGACGGCACUGCGCUUGAGCCGGGCAUGCUCGCCGGCGACGCCGGGGCCCUCCCUCCUCGUGGCGAUGGCGGGGCGCUAGAGCUGGGCAUGCUCGCCAGCGACGCCGGGGUUCGCUCUUGCUGAUGCACUCGCUGCGGCAGGAACUUCCCUCCCCCUCCACCCUGCUUGGGACGCCAUGAAGGAGCAGGAGCAGUUUCUGCUGGCGACCUCCAUCUUGAUUAGGAUCACCACGAUGACCUCCGCGUGCUGUGCUCGGGACCCUCCCUAUGCUUCUCGUCGCUCCUCCGGGUCCAAAAACUUCUUUUGUGCUGCAACUAAUGGGGAAAUACAAAAAUACAAAUAAUGUCAAUUACUUUGAGCCUUUGAGUUAGAAGGGCUGACCUGCAUGAGUACUCAUUGAGGAGCAAGAGUAUCUCAGGCCCCACGCUUUCCUCGUUUAUCUCAGGCCCAAUGUUUUUUUUGUUUUUUUAUACCCCACACAUACAGAAUUAAAGGAGUUAUUUUCGUAAUACAUUUUUAUACAAAAUUAUUGGGUUCAGCUCAUCGGAACGUUUCAUCGAUACUUUUGUGUGCUUUCUCUUACCUUUUUUUAUAUACAUAAAGUUUACCUCUCUGUAUAGAAAUAUAAUUCUUGUAUCAUUUGUCUUGCCAGCUAGUUAAUGUACCCUUAGCGGCCAUGCUUGAUAGGAGGGGCCAGGGAAGUGCUUUAAGUCGUUCCAAGAAUGUGAGACAGUGUCAAGUCUGUAAGGCAAGUCAAGGGGAUCCUGUGGCGGCAAGAUCCUUCAGCGGUGCAGGAGAUUAAGGGUUCCAUAAUCGAUUCCGCGCUUGUUGCUAUCCCUAUUUUUCAGACUCAUCUAGGUUAUGUAGGUUCACGAUUGUACUGAGUUGGGGGUUCUCCUCCCCUGACAGCUGGGUGAAUGGCAAUCGUCAUGAAUGUCGCUGCAUCUGUUACAUGGAUGAGUUUUCAUAGGUGCCUCAUUAUUCGUCUGCAAUUUACAGAGAGUCUAACAAAUCUGGGAUGAUGGAAACAAGAGGGAAUGAGGGCGCACCUGCGUUGCAGAGGAGUUCGUGGACGGUGACGGCGUGGUAAGAGCUCAACGGCGAUAAGGCAGGACAGCCUAGGCGGCGGCGUCUUAAAGCGUCACCAAGCAUGGACGGUGGCGGCAUGUAAAAGCCUCACGAAGUCCAGAAGAGCGUAGACCUGUGAUGGCGAAGUAGUCGUCGUCGCCGGGUGCCUCGCCGGCUGCAUAGGGCAUGCUCCUCGUCGCAUCCGUCGCCGGGUGCCUCGGCGGCUGCGUAGGGCGUAGGUCAAUCUGGAUGCCUGGAGGGCCGGCUCUGUUUUUUUUGUUCCUGUGCAGUUGAACAACCCAUCCGGAGAUUACGUGAUGUUUUCCCUUGUAAGCAUAUUAAUAUUUCCUAGAUGGACUUUAUUUUUUUUGGCCGAACGUGGGAGGGCAGUUUUCGUCUGCCCCUUGUUGGCUCUUUUAAUAGUAGUGGAGAAAAAAGACCACACCCAGACAAUGAAAAACCCUAUCUUCUGUAGCUAAACGACGCUGGAUUACCCUUU